AUCCUCUUUGUGAAGUGUCUGCCUGUAGCCAGGGCAAUACUUCCAUGGACUGCUGUGACACAGAGUUCCCGAGGUGCUGGGAGAGCCUGCCUGUGGGUUGAAGAUUUGACAAUGAUGUCCUUGGACCAGCUUUUGUUCCCUCAGAUCUGAACUGCUCCCAAGUCUGUGGAUCAAUGGAACGACACUAAAUGGCACAGAUACACCACGUCACGCAGAAUUUCAGGGGAUUUAACUUAUCUGAACAUAUCACGUGUGAAAAGGCUUUUUCCGAGCCCUGUAGAUGGGUCAGGGAUAUGGAAAUGCAAGUGGAAGAAAGUACAAGGAGGCUUUAGCAGGGACGGGGAGGGUUAUGCCACAGCAAGAAGACUCUCACCAGAUGCCAGUGCCAUGCUGUUGGACUUCCCAGCCUCCAGAACUUUCAGAGACACCCCUGCCCCCAGAUUCAUACUCCAGGCUGGGAGCCACUGGCAUAACUGACGGAUGAAAAGAAGAGAAGAAUGGACACAGAGAGAUUGGAGGUGGAGAAUGAGAGCAGGCUUGUAAGGAAUGAGAUCCAGCAUUAGAAGGGAGAGAUGUAUCUUUCCCUGUGACUUGGUUUCCCCAUUCAAGGAAGAGGAAGUAGGUGGGUACAGCAUAUAUUAGGUCAUCAGGAAAGCAGGUAAGGAAGCUUUCCUCAGAUGGCCUCAGAGUGAAUGAAUGGAUGAAUGAAAGCAAGAGGUUGUUUUAAGCAAGUAAGGGAGAAACCCGGAUGUUACAGGAAACCUAAGGAGAGAAGUUCCGGAACUGAUCUGAGGACUGAGCCAGGGAGUCCAGGAGAGCAGAGGCCAGGGGCUAGAUGGAGUGGGUGAGCAUCCAUUUCUGCUGGCCAGGCUGGUUCACCUGGGGACUUUCUUCAGAAAUUCUGUGCUGCAGGAGGAGACAGCAGAUUGAAGUGACAGCCUAGUGGGUGGAUUCUUUGAAAGCUGAGGAGGAGUGAGAAGCCUUGUGCGUGCGUCAAAAAUAAAUAAAUAAAUAAAUAAAUAAAGGCUAAAUGGUAGAUUUCUGAGUGGAGAGUGUGUUUGAAGGGGCCCAGGGAGGGGACUAACACAUGGUGAAAUGGCAGAUGCUGAAUCCUUGAAGACUUCAGGUUCAGGGGAUUUGCAAAUCGCAAACGCAACAAGAAAGGACGAGGGGAUCCAAGGUGCACUCGGGGUCUUAAGGAUGUUGCUCAUUUAACACAAUUGUUGGCAUUAAAGAAUUUCCAGGAAAUGUCAACAGUUGGGUAGCUUUGAACAGCCCUAAAAGUGACUCAGCCAGAUGGUUCCUGUAAGAAUUCCUCCCUCAUUCCUCCUUGUCUGCCGUCCUCCUCCUCAUACAAGCUGUUUCCAGAGUGCAGAUUAAGGCUUGUCAGCCAAAGAGGAACCCUACUUCAGAUAUCUCAGGCAACAUUUACUUAUCUUCACAAGCUUCCUUAUUUUAAGUGCAGAGCCCUCUGACCUUUCGCUGUUUGUUCCCCUUCAUCUAAUUUACCCUACGUGAACUACCGCUUUUCCUGCUCCCUUCUCCUUCCCUUGCUGGUCCAUUAAUGCCAGCUCCUUCCUCUCUUUUUUUCUCUCCAUCCUUUCUUCUCUCCUGUUUCCUCAGGGAGAUGUCGAGUUUUAGCACUUCACAGCCGGAGUGAUACAGAGCUGCUCUUUCCAGGCUAGCUCUGUCUUUUGCUUCAUGGCAGAAACUUGAGUGUCAAGUCCGGAUCCCUUGGCCUAGAACUCUGAAGAGUCAGCCUCAUUUGUUAGUUCCGAGACAGACAGCUUUGGGAAGCUGAGAAAGCGCAGAUCCUGGUCUUGCUCCUCUCCCUGGAGUUUCACUAGCUCUCAGGCCUGCUUGGCCUUUGCUUCUGAGGAGUCUGGAGUGAUUUGCCAUUCCCACAGGCGCCUCAAAUAGCCUAUGUCUGACUUAAAUCUGAUCUAGACCCUUUCAUCCUUCCUACAAGGGAGUUAAUGACAUAGGGAAUUUCAACACUGAGCCUGAACCUGUGGGGUCUGUGCACAUGACCUGCACAUCAGGUGCAGCCCCUCAGGCCUUCCUAGGGUCCCUCCUUCCCAGGGCAUUGAUGGCCAAUGAUGAGCAGGUCAGAGACAAAGGGGCAUACAUACACAUGUAUUCCAGACUGUUGUUCUAGGAUUGAGUCCCUUCAAUGAGCGAGAAAUGAAUUAAUCUAUAAUUGCCCAAGAAGGCUUCUAAAAGUGACUUAAUCUUUCGCUUUCAUUCAUGGCUGAAGAGAAGCAGUUAAGGUGAUUAGAAUCUGUAUAAAAUCAGGAAAGAAAGGUGUUUCUAUAAUUAGAAUGACAUUUUAGAGGAAGUCCAACAACCAGCUUAGGUAGUUUAUCUUACAGAGUUGUGGUUGGACCACAGCAAUGCUACAAAAGCUGUCACAGCUCAAGUCAUCGUUCAGGAAUUUACCCAGCAGAUGUAGACUCAGAGAUAGGAUUCAAAAGGGAGCCUCAACUUGAAUGCACAAGGCAAAGGAUUUUGAAUAGCUUCCAUUUGCAUCAGUUUUUUGUAGCAGUCUUGGCUUAAGUAAAUUGUAACACUGCGCUUCUGGCGGUGACUUGGCAUAAACUCUGUGAAGUGAUGUGCCUUCUUCAUCUCUAUCAUCUAGACUUCUUGGACAACAUUCCCUGCAGGGGCCAUUACUACUGCCAAAUGCAUAAGGGCUGGGGUGGAGGAGUGAGGGCGCCAAGCCCAGGGGAUAUCUAGGCAGAGGGAUCUUUCCUGCUUAAGCAAAAGUUAGGUAAAUAAGGGUCAAUAACAUGGUAGCCUAUGAAUUAGAGUGAGGUGAAGUUAUUUUUGUUUUCAUUUCUAUACAGAGUUGUGCAUACAUCAUGUAUCUGUAAUUCAUUCUUACAGUAAUUGUAAGUCAUUUCAUUUUUUAGAUCGAGUCACCCAGGCUUGUCACAACAGGUGCUAAAAAUGCACAAGAUAAAAGAAGCAAGAAGUGAAACCGGAAAAUGGUUCUGUGAAUCAGGGAGGUGGGGUGUAUAGACAGACAUCAGAGGACACCCAGGUUUCUCUUCAUUUCACCAGUAAAGAGCAACCUGAAUGACUUACCAUGCAAUUAUAUCUGUUCUUUUUAAGCAACAGUUCAGAGACUAUGAAAGCAGCGCUGAUCAUAUCAUGUGGUUUACUAGGAGGCAUAUAAUCGCAGGUUUACAAAGCAAGAAAUGGGACUAAAUUGAGACAAACCAACAUCACAAAGAGAAUCCAAAAUCCAUGAAAGAAGAACUAGCUCCUAGAUUUAAAAUUUAUAUAACUGGUUAGGAGAUUCGAGUUUUCAUUGAGGGUUGGUUCUCAAGUCACAUUGCUGAAAGAAACUUAGGGGAAUGGAUGCCAUCGUGAUGACACUUCACAUUUGGGUGGAUGGUGCUUUUAGUUUUGACAAAGCACUCUCCUUUUUGGCCUUAUUUAGAACUGCUGUUAGAUUUACUGCAGAAUCAUGUGGUAUGAGAAUGUCAUAUGUUCAAGACAAUAAUCUAUGUGGAUACAGGGGGUUGCUACAAUGUUAUCAUAAUAGAUGGACUGAAUUCUGGAUGUAUUUAUAUCAGGACCUGCUCAUGAAGGAGUGAAUGAGAUUUCAGAUUUUGCAGUAUUAAUUCUUAUUUUUAAGUGAAGGGGAAACCAUAGACCAGAAGGAACAUUCAUGAGCAUUCUCUAAGACUCAGCAAAAGAUAGAAAGGAAAGGCCAGCCCCUCCAUAAAACACUCUAUGUCAUGCAAAUUUGAAAUUAGGCUGAGCUCAAUCUGCGAUGGUUGCCCUUAAACACUGCUAAGAAGGAAGUAAGCAAAGACGCUCUUUUAAAUGGUCAGUGCUGGGCACAGUGGCUCAUGCCUGUAAUCCCAGCACUUUGGGAGGCUGA
rnacentral:lncRNA from 1 species